GGCCAGCCCUACUCUCUCUCUCUCUCUUUCGUCCGCUUAUUUCUCUGUUAUGGAAUUCUUCGACCUGAAUGUACCGUAUUACGAAUCCGAUAGGAAUGUGACGGACAAGGCCGCCAGAAAAACUUCUCGAUUGAAGCAUGUUGUUAAAGCAAUGGAGCUUGGUUAUGGCGGAUUCGCUUAUAACCGUAUUUUGAAAGGCGUGACGUCAGAUUUUGACCGCUGCUCGAUCCCUCUAUUCCCUCUAUCAUCCAUCGUUAAGCUUGCCCCUUCAACUUCCUCUGCUGUCAAACUUCAUCGCGGAGUUCUCGGCCUUCCCUUGUCCGCUCCCUUUCGUCAGUUCACUCGUUUGACGGUCAUUGUGGAAACUUCCACUCAAGCUCAGGCUCUGAACUCUGGGAAUCCGAUUUUGAAAAGCUAUGAUAUUGUUGCUGUUCGGCCUACGAAUCAAGUUGCUUUCGAGCAUGCUUGUCAGAUAUCCGAGGUGGAUGUAAUUGCGAUUGAUUUUUCAAAUAAGCUGCCCUUUAAGUUGAAACAUCCCAUGGUCAAAGCUGCAAUUGAGCGUGGUGUUUAUUUUGAAAUAACUUACUCAGGCCUCAUUAUGAAUGCUCAAACAAGGAGACAAGUGAUAUCUAAUGCUAAGCUACUUGUGGAUUGGACUAGUGGAAAAAAUAUCAUUAUAUCAAGUGCUGCGCCAUCUGUUAGUGAAAUGAGAGGGCCAUAUGAUGUUGCAAAUUUAUCAUCGUUGCUUGGACUUCCUAUGGAACGUGCCAAAGCAGCUCUUUCAAAGAAUUGCAGAGCUCUUUUAGCUCAUGCUGCAAGCAAGAGGAACUACGUGGGAGAAGCCAUCAGAGUUGAACUACUUCCAUCGGUGGGGGAGUCUGACACUAAGGAAAACCAGCUCAGUGAUUGGCUUAAUGGGAAUCCCGUCUCCAGAAGGGAGGAUGAUUUGCUACUAGACGAUGAGAAAAAUUCUUUCUCUGCCUCCAACAUGGAAAUAUCAAACUAAAACCAAGAACACAUCAUCGAGGCUUUUUGUUUCCUUCGAGUCAACAAUUCAAGAGGAAGCCUAGGAAAUAAAAAUCAAAUCCGAAGUUGCGCAAGUGAUCUUUUCCAUUAUUAGCUGAAAAGCUGGCGGCAGAGAAAGGUCGGGACUAUAGCUGCCUACUUCUAGGGGGGAGGGCCGACUUUGCUGCUAAACAAAGCUCCCAUGUGAAUUGGGAAUAGACUAUCUGGGACAGUGAAAAACAGUUACAAGUAAAAGCUUAAAGAAAAGGAAAAGUGAUAUAUUUUAUGGGAUUAAAUCGGAGGAAAACGCUUCCAGAAAGCUAGUCCAGUUCUCUUCCUCGUGAUCUUCAUUAUCAGGUUGUUGAUGAUGAUGAUAAUGGUUAGCCAGUAGUUUCUCUAUAUGGUCGUCAUUCCUGGCGAAACGCCCCCUAAUGCGUGGCCUGCUGUCUGCUAGCGUCUUCCUACAGGCAUACUGUUUUAAGACAGGACGCGGGGAGGGAGGUUAUAUUCAGGUAAGUAUAAUGUUGAAAGAAAAAAAAUGAACCUUAAUGGUCUUGUUGAAGUUCCUGAGGUUUCUCUUGGUUCUAUACUUGUGAAUUCUCUCCCUUUUCUCCUCGGGGCUAUAACGGCAAGCCUUGCUCAUUCCCUCCAUGAUGCUGCUGCAACUCUCCUCGUUCGAUAUCAACUGGCUCUCCGACCUCCUAUAGUAUUGCAGCAGCAUGUUUAUCCCCUGUUUUAAUGUCUCCCGCCCACAAAUUAAUAUUUAAAAACCAAGCUAUAAGUCUGAUGACAGAUUCACAGUACCUGUAAGUCCCCGGUGCUGCAGUCUCUUUUGACGGGGAUUGUCCCACCGGAGGAGGAGGAGGAUGAGUCUAGAAAGUCGAGGGAGUUGACGACGUUGGACCAGAUGAAAUGAGGAGGAGGAGCUCGGGCGUUGAUCUUAUGGAGGGAAAGGCUGCUUACGCUUCCCUGCAUGAAAGUAGUCUCGUAACUGCUGUUGCUGCUACAUGCUGUAUUAUUCAUCCCUCCAUUGUUGUGCAUUAGCUUCCAGCUGGAGGCCGACGACGACAAGGAUGAGUCGUAAUAUCCGAUGUUGAGUGGAAGAGAUAUUGUCAUAGUACUACUGGGCUCACCCGUCGACAUGUCAAGUAAAGGGGAAUUAUAGUCCGGAAAAGUGGCCGAAGCUGGAAAUUCGUGGCUGUUGUGUCCGUACAUGAUUCUUGUAAAUGUAGAGAGAUGGAAGGAAGAUGAUGCGGGGCUCCUGCUUCUCAAAGAAACUGGCCCCUUUGCUACCUACUUAAAGAUGGCGCUGGCUGGCUGACGUUGUUGGUGACGAUGUCAUAUUUCAGCAGCAUGAUCUCUUACUACGUUCUCAAUAUAUCCCUUCGGAGGAUUGGAGUGAUUCAAAAUAAA